CCGUAACUAUAACGGUCCUAAGGUAGCGAAAUUCCUUGUCGGGCAAGUUCCGACCCGCACGAAAGGCGUAACGAUUUGGGCGCUGUCUCAGCUGUAGACUCGGUGAAGUCUUAGUACCUGUGAAGAUGCAGGUUGCCCGCGACUAGACGGAAAGACCCCAUGGAGCUUCACUGCAGGUUGACAUUGGGCUUGGAUGCAUGAUGUACAGGAUAGGUGGGAGGCUGUGAGCCGUGCGCGCCAGCGUACGGGGAGCCGCUGUUGGGAUACCACCCUUCAUGCAUCUAGGUCCUAACCGGAGGCAACGGGCCACGGGACAGUGUCAGUCGGGCAGUUUGACUGGGGCGGUCGCCUCCCAAAGAGUAACGGAGGCGCCCAAAGAUACCCUCAGCAUGGAUGGAAACCAUGCAUAGAGUGCAAAGGCAUAAGGGUGUCUGACUGCGAGACAUACAGGUCGAGCAGGGACGAAAGUCGGGCUUAGUGAUCCGGCGGAUCCGAAUGGAAGGGCCGUCGCUCAACGGAUAAAAGCUACCCUGGGGAUAACAGGCUGAUCUCCCCCAAGAGUCCACAUCGACGGGGAGGUUUGGCACCUCGAUGUCGGCUCAUCGCAUCCUGGGGCUGUAGUCGGUCCCAAGGGUUGGGCUGUUCGCCCAUUAAAGCGGUACGCGAGCUGGGUUCAGAACGUCGUGAGACAGUUCGGUCCCUAUCCGUCGCGGGCGCAGGAAAUUUGAGAGGAUCUGUCCUUAGUACGAGAGGACCGGGAUGGACAUACCGCUGGUGUACCAGUUGUUCUGCCAAGGGCAUCGCUGGGUAGCUAUGUAUGGAUGAGAUAAACGCUGAAAGCAUCUAAGUGCGAAACUCACCUCGAGAUAAGAUUUCCCACUCCUUUAUGGAGUUAAGACCCCUGAGAGAUGAUCAGGUAGAUAGGAUGGAAGUGGAAGUGCGGCGACGCAUGGAGCGGACCAUUACUAAUCGGUCGAGGACUUAACCAA
rnacentral:rRNA from 1 species